rnacentral:misc_RNA from 1 species
UCCGAGUUGACCCCGGCAGUCUCCUACGAGUCCCCGCCAUUACGCGCUGGCAACAUAGAAUAAGGGUUGCGCUCGUUGCGGGACUUAACCCAACACCUCACGGCACGAGCUGACGACAACCAUGCACCACCUGUAUACGGCCCCGAAGGACACCAUAUCUCUAUGGCUUUUCCGUAUAUUUCAAGCCCUGGUAAGGUUCUUCGCGUUGCGUCGAAUUAAGCCACAUGCUCCGCCGCUUGUGCGGGCCCCCGUCAAUUCCUUUGAGUUUCAGUCUUGCGACCGUACUCCCCAGGCGGAGUGCUUAUUGUGUUAACUUCGGCACUGACCAUCGCUGGCCAACACCUAGCACUCAUCGUUUACAGCGUGGACUAC